UGAUCUGCUGCUGCUCAGAGGAUUAAGCAAAACUCUGGGAUUCCAGCGAAAUGUCAGUAAAUGGCACAUAUAUCCUAUGUUGAAAAAGCCAAGUUGUGUGGUUAAUCAAUUCUGGAGCAUCUGAGAUACAUUUGUGUGACAAUAGCCAUUUAUUUUAAGCUUUUUGGUAAGUGUUUUAUUCCACUCAUUUUAACAGUUGCUUGAUUUAUUUAAGCGAUUAUAAGGGGCAUCCAAAUUUAGUUUGGUAAAUUGUUUGCACUGAGGUCUUUAUCUGUUUUAAGUAAAUAUGGCCAAGACCCAGAUUUCAAAGUAGGCUGUGUCAAAUCAUGGCCAUGAUUGAUGGUGGAACAUAUUUCCAAAUAUACUCAUGCCUUUAGCUUAAGUAUAGUUUAAUUGACUGCAGAUUGAAUAACAACUGGAAUUGAGAUGCAGUGGAAACUUGAAGCGAUGUCAGAUAAAGAGCACUAGCAUUACCCUUGAGUGUGGACCAGAGUGGAAGAGGAAUCUGAAAUCCUGAUGUGAUAGCUAACCUUGAAACUAAAUGCCCUCAGCCUGUGGAGAGACCUAAUCAUGUGCGUGGGUAAUAUUUAAAUGUACCUCUUUUGAAUGGAUCACUUAUGACUAGCUAGGGGAUAAAAUAUAUGUGUGUGUGAGUAUAUAUGUGUGUUUGUGUAUGUGUAUAUUUAUAUAUACAUAUGUCUAGCUAGUCAACACACACACACAUAGAUAUCAUAGAUUGUGUGCGUGCGUGUGUGUGUGUGUGUCUCUGCCCUUUUAAAAAUUUAGAGAAGAGAGAGAUUGCACUGUGUGAGAGAGAGAGAAUUCCCACUAUGAUGUGUAGAAAUGAUUCUCAAAUUGUUUUCCUGCUUCUCCAAUGUAUUCUUGCAUAACGUGGAAGCUUUAAAUAGUUGUAAAUGCCCCUGGGCUCAUCAAACAUACAGAAGAGAGCCAAUUGUGGUUAGAUAAUGCCUGAGCUUACUUAUUAAAAUAUAUGCUUUCUUUUUCUUUCUUUUUUUUUUAAAUAAAGGCAAUAGGAAACUUCAAAUGAUGUUUUUUGCUUGUGAAAUUAAUUGUGGGUGCACAACAUAAAAACCCAUGACCCAACUGCUUUCCUGAAACUAAAAUUUCUAACUUUGUUAGCAUUUCUUUUUGUUGUUGUUGUUGGGGUGGGUACCAGGGAUUGAACUCAGAGUCACUGGGUCACUGAGCCACAUCCCCAGCCCUAUUUUGUAUGCAUUUUAUUUAUAGACAGAGACUCACUGAGUUGUUUAAAGCCUUGCCAUUGCUGAGGUUGGCUUUGAACUCAUGAUCCUCCUCCCUCAGUCUCCUGAGUCUGCUGGGAUUACAGGUGUGUGCCACUGUGCCCAGACUUUGCUAGCAUUUCUAACAUUUCUAACUCUGAAAUGUAAUUUCUUCAGGAAUUUGAGCUAUGGAGAAACAAAUCUGGGAAAAAAAUUUUAAAAAAUAUUGUGCCUAGCUAGGAACAUAAGCUCUAAGGCUCCAAUAUUCAUGUAGAUCAGGGUUUAACUUUGAUCCUAUAAUAACUGUUUCUUAGUAAGCAUGUGUUUAAUAAGGUACCUGCUUCCUAAGAAAUCUAGAUUUGCUUCCAAAUUAAAGAUAAACAUAGUGGUAGGAGAGUAAAAAUACAUGUAUGGAUGCAGGGAAUAAUUUCUAAAUAUGUUUCCAAAUGUGGCUGUAAAUAUAUUAGAAGAAAAAAUAUUAAGGAACUGACAUAAUAUAAUUAGCUUUUAGGUUGUUAUUAGUGCAGUGAAAUCUUAUUAAUUUAUGCACGAUUUAGAGUUGAUGAUUAUUUAAGUGAGAUCUUAUGUAGUCUCCCAUUUCUGUAUUUAUAAUAAAGGAAGAAAUAAAUAGUAUGGAUGAGAUAGAACUAUAUGUUGGGGCAAAAUAAUAUGUGCCUCUAAGUGCUAGGUGCCACACAUAUUAUCUAACCAAAUGUUCACAACUAUCUGACGUAGACAAUGCCUAUAUUUUACCAAUAAGAAAGCUGAGGGCUUAUGGUUUAGGUGACUAGCCAAAAUCAUGUAUCUUAAGGAAGUAGAUUGAGAAUGUGUAUGUGGGUCCUGUGUUUUAUGAAUACCAUGCCUUUUUCUAAGUUCCUUAGGAAUUUUUGUUCCUUCAUUUACAGCGAUUGCCUGAGCAGCAGCCUGUGCUAAACAUUCUUGCAAACAAUAUCCUUAUUACCAUAUUUACCAGUCAUUCUCAUUUGGCCAUGGGAGCAGUUCUCUCGAGGACUUCAAGGUGCUAGCACUUUCCUUGAUAGGCAGAGACUCAGUGUCUACAUUUGAAAUAUUCAUAUCCUAGUAAUUUAUACUCUUGCAGACUCAUGCAUAUCCAGUGCUGUUCUGCUGUACUUAAUUAUACGUGUUCAUGGAACGUCUUAUUACUUAGCAUCAGAAUUUGCUAUGGGACAGGAUUAAUAAAAUCAAGACUUAUGAGCGGCCACUUUCUGGCAGGGUUGUCGGGAAAGUUUCCUUCUGAACAGCAACCCCCAAAACAUUCUCAGGUACCAAGUUGUUACUUGUAUUAAAGAAAACCAGAUAGAAUUUUAAAGUACAGAUCCUUUGCAUAUUUUUGAGCAUCAGUUGGGAGGAAGCAGUUAUGAAUAUGUCAUAUUUUAUAAACCCAGGAUCAAAGGUUUCCUUGGUGUUUGUAUUGCAGGUUCACGUUCCAGAAAAUAGUAGGCUCUUCUGAUGGCUGAGUUCAUAAAGGAAUGUAAUAUUUCUGUCUCAGCUCUGAGUUCAGUAGGCUUGUAGGUUCUUAGAGGUGUCUACAAUAUUUCUUUGUCCUGUUUAGUGAGACAAAAACAUCAUUCUUAUUGAAAUGCAUAGGAAGGACUAGCAUAAUUCCUGCCGUGUGCAAGGCAAUCAUGCUAUUUCAUCAGUACUGUUAAUUGUAAUUUCUUUUAAGCAUUUCUUCUAUCUGUGAGAUGUGCUAAAUUCUAAGUGCCCCUGUGAAAUGUCAGUGAAUGGAAUUAAGCAGGUAAUUAAACAGAGACAGAAACUACAUUGGUAUAAUUAGACUUUAACAGUAUAGUUUAGAAAAAAAUAUAUAGCUCAAGACAUGGAAGAGUUGCAGUGUUUUAAAAGAUGUCUGGGGAUUUUUAGCAAUAUGUACCUCCCACAUCAUUUUUAUUAUAUACUUUUAUCUGGGAAGAAUGGAGUUUGGUCAUGACAAAGACUUCCACAAGCCUAUAAUAAGCUGAUGGGUUCUAUUUUCCUUCUCAAUACUGGCUGAGAAUCCUACUAAAGGUUAGGCCUCCUCAGCUCUAUGUUAUCAUUAAGUAUGUCAUUUCAUGUUCUGAGAUGGUAUAGUUUGGAUCUGAAAUGUCCCGAAAGCCCAUGUGUUAAAGGUUUGGUCCCAGCCUGUGGCUCUGUUGGGAGGUGGUGGAACCUUGAGGAGGCGGGGCCUAAGGGGAGGAAGUGAGGUCAUUGGGGGCAUGCCUUGAAGUGAUAUUAGGACCCAGGCCCUUCCUGUCUCUCCCUUUACUUCCUGGUUGCCACUCCACCACAUGCUUCCAUCAUGAUGUACUGAGCCAUCACAGGCCCAAAGGCACUGGACUGAAAUCUCUGAAACCAUGAGUGAAAAUAAACCUCUCCUUCUUCUAAGUUGACUGCCGCAGGUAUUUUAUCACAGUGAUGGAAAGCUGACUAACAUGUCUCCUGACCAAAAUGGCAAGAAUCCCAUUGGGAACUUAACAGACACUGGAAUGAGGCAUUAGUGUGCACACUGGAAAUCUAUUUUGUCACUUACUUGUUUGAAAGUGAGACUUGUGUGGACUGAUCCUUCCAGAGAAAUAAUUUAUGGAUCUAGAACCUGUGCCUUCAGUUUAUCUGGAUCAUAAUAAAAAAUAUUGUUUUUAAUAGCAGGUCAAAUUGGAAGAAAUUUACAAGUGUUGGAGUAGAUAGAAAAAGAGAAGGAAAGGAUGACCGGAAGGGAGGAAAGAAGGAGAGGAAAAGAAGGAAACAAAAACAAAACCACUUCAUAGUGUCCUGAUUAUGUUGGGUGCCACCCCCAGGAAUUUCUAUAAUAAUUACAUUGAUAAAGGAGAGUGAGCGGUUGUGCAGUUACCAUGUGGAUGAUAUCGAUGUGAAUGUGCAAACUUCAAUGUCCCGUCCAAAGCAUAGUUUUGCUUCAGGUUGUAUUUUCCAUUUGGUCAUUCCUGAAUUGAUCAUCUACUUUCCUCAAUCCUUAAUUUUCUUUUGUGUUAUGAAUGUCUGGAAGCAUACAUUUCAGCUUACACAUUUAUAACUUCUUCACAUCUAAAAUUAGAAUCCCACUUAAUUUUAAUAUAUCUCAUCUACUAAGAAAAUAGUAGUGAUUUUGGUGGUCAUCUUUGAUGUGUGCAUGCACGCACACACAAAUCAGAAUGAUUCUCUUGUUACUGGCUUAGAAUCCUUUGUCCCACACCUGCUAGAAAUUAUUUUUAACAGUCAGUCUCUUACUUAAGUUUGCAAACUUUUUAAAGGUAAUUUAUCUAAUGAAAUUAUAGAUGUGAAAGACUAAGUAGGCCACCAGUCCUUACACCUUUGUGAAAGAACUGUGAAAAGGGUUUACAUAAAUGGAUUAGAUUUCAUUUGAAAGUGGAUUAAGAGUCCUAAACACAUAUGAAAAACUUACCUUAUUACUUAAAUAUUAAAGCAGUAGUGAAGUUUCCAGGCAGUGUUUAUGUAUGCUAUUUUAGUGUGUCCACUGGAAGGGAACAGAAUACAUGUGUUUUAAAAUGAUGUAAGACCUAUGAUGUCAUAGUUUUUAAUGUAAGCUGCAAUUUAUAUAAAUGAUCAAUGUCUCCCAUGGGAAUGUCUUCUUGCUUAAUAAAUGGAAAAUGUGAUUCGGCAUUGUAAGAAGAAAUUAGGACAUAAUUCAAAUGAUAAUUUCUAUGGGGAUAAAGUUCGAGCUAUGAAAAACUAGAAGCCCUAGACAAUCACUGCCCAAUACAAAUAUAAUAUGAGCCAUAUAUGUAGUUUUUAAUUUUCCAAUAUAUAUAUUCAAACAAGGAAAAUGGUAAAUUCACUUUUAUAGUAUAUUUUCUUUAAACCAGUAUUUCAACAUAUUAACAUGUAACCCAUGUAAACGUCAUUAGUGAGAUUUUUCCAAUUUUCACCUACAAAUCUUGGAAGUCUAAUGUGUAUUUUAUAUUUAUAGUAUGACUCAGUUCAGAGCCACUGUUUCUAGUGCUCAUUAGCCAUGUGUGGCUGGUGGCUACCAUAUUUGAACUACAUGGCUCUUGAGCAAAGACAUAAAUGGAGCCAAGCAGCCAAGAAAAAUGAGCUGCUCUCUAUUCAUCUGGUUCCUGCCUUUGCCCUAGUACAGCCAGAUUUCAUUAUUUUUCCUGGAAUGCCAGAAAUCCAGAGCCCUCUGGGAAGUUUCUUGAUUUUUAAAUGUUGGCAACUAAUUCAGAACUUUCAAAAAGAUCAUGCUAGGCUGGACCACACAUUGCCAGUUAGUGACCUCUGUUCCCAGUACUUCAAAUUUUAAUCCAUGUAAGGGUCUCGUAUUCAUCCAACAUUCUCUAGGAGGUUUGACUGUGGAUAAUCAAAGGAUCCCCUUCUUUCACAAAUACAAGUGUGUUUGAACAUGUUUUCAAGUUUAUGGAAUAUGUUCCACAUUAGAAUACACUCAGUGUUUGUCCUGGGAUAAUUUUCUACUUAAAAUUUUAUUUCUCCAGCUGACUGCACCCUCCCCCUAACACACACACACACACGCCCUUUUUUUUUUUUUUUUUUUAAUUCAUCCUACCUGUAACUGUUAUUCGGUUCCCUCUUCCAUGUCAGAGUACAGGCUUCUCAAGGGCAGGCAGAAUGUUUUGUUUUCCACUGUAUCCCUGUACCUGGUAUGGGGAAGGCUUUGGGUCAGUUUUUACUGAAUGGAUGAAUAAGUGAACAACUAAGCUAAAACCCAGGGAGGAUGUGUUGGUGGGAAUGUAGAGAAAUUAGAAGCCUUGUGCACUCCUGGUGGGAACUGCAGAUGGUGCAGCUGCUAUAGGAAAUUUUAUCAAUUCCCCCCAAAAAUUAAAAAAUAGAGCUACCACAGGAGCCAGCAAUUCCACUCCUGAGUGUAUCACCAAAAUACAAGAAUGUAGGGACAUGAAGAUAUGGUUGUACAGUACUUGUGUUCAUAAAGGUAUUAUUCACAAUAGCUAAAAAAUGAAGAAAGCAACCCAAAUGUCCAUUGACAGAUGAAUGGAUCAGCAGAUCAGCCAUCUGUGAUAUAUUCAUACAAGGGAAUAUUAUUCAGCCUUAAAGGAAAGAAAUUCGGACACUUGCUACAUCAUGGAUUAAUUUUAAAAACAUUAUUCUAAAUAAAAAAGCCUGUCACAAAAGAAAAAAAAGCAAAUACUCACAUGAGGUACCUAGAGCGGCCAAAUUCAGAGACACAAAGUAGAAUGUGCUUGCUAGGGUCUGGGGGGAGAGGGGACCAAGGAGUUAUGUCAUGGGUACAGAGUUUCAGUUUUGAAAGCUGAAUGGCCAUGAUGGUUGUUUAACUGUACUAAUACCACUAUACUGUAAGCCUGAAAAUGAUUAAAAUGGUAAUUUUAUGUAUAUGAUACCAUAAUUUAAAAUAAAUACUAUUUUUAAAAGCAUAAGAAGGUCGAAUGCCUUAUCUCAGUUCACAGUAUUGUGGUCUGUAGAUUUUUAAAUUAUUCUAGGCCAUUCAUCCAUUGAUUUUUUUUUGUUGUUGUUUGUUUGUUUGUUUUUUGGAUUUGGUUAAGGGUUUUUGGUUUUUGUUUGUGGUACUGGGGAUCGAACCUAAGGCCUCACACAUGUUAGGGAUUCACACUGUAUCACUGGGUUACACCUCCAGCCCUGCAGUAUUUUUUGAGGUCAGGGCAAUAAAGGAAACACAGAGUUUUGGGAAAUUGCAAACCCAGAUCCUUGUAAGUUACUGAGACCCCCCAGUUCUCACACACGUCCCAUCCUGUUCUGCUGGAACCAAGGAUAAGAUAAUAAAAUGAAAUAGGUAUGAGAAAACUAUAUGUGCUAGAUGAUUCUGGGUUGAAAUCACUGUAUGUUGGGAGAUUAAUGUGUUCGGGAGAUUAAAGUUUCCUCCUGGUGAUGUAACGCGUAAGAGCCUUAUUGAGCUGAUGCCCCGCACAAUCAUUUCUCAGUUCAGUUAAAAUAAUCAGCUGACUGACUGUAAAUUUGCCCCAGUCACUGAGAACAUUUGCUGCACUCUGUUGAUGCUGAUGAUUUAUUUCAUCAUCUGCCAUGGGCUGAAGUGCCCUUGGAGUCGAAUUCUUCUUUUCCUCUCAAGAGUAAAGUGAGGUGGGAAGAGAAUGCCUUGUGCAAUGGAAUAUCUAGUCUCAAGAGGCAGCACCACCCGUGAAGCUGGCACCUUUGGUGAUCUUUCCUGGCUCUGUAGCAGUGGGAAUGCCUGUUGCUCAGAGUAGCCAGAUUUCUACAAUUAGAGAAAAAGGCACAAUCAUUUAAUAUUUUAUUCUCUAGAGACUUGCUUUGGUAAGUAAGCAGAACUCUGAGUUUUCUGUCACAUGCCGUAAUUAUCCAAGAGAAUAUUGUCUUGAAAUGGAGAAAGCAAACAAAAUCCGAUAGUAGUUCUAUACACAGCCUAUUUUAUCUGUGUUUUAAAAAUGAACACAGCUUAGGGCCUUGCUACUUACAAAUGGAUUCUUCACAUUGUUCCAGAACCCUUAGGUGACAUCAAGCACUGAAAGAAACUCAAGACUGAUUAAAACCAAAAAACAAAAUCAUAAAAAUCAAGAAGAAAAUAUAGAUUAAAAAGCAAAGCUUAGUUUGGGGAAAGGCUAGUGAGGCAUAAAAAGCAACAGAAAACUUGCAAAAGAAAAAUGGAUAAACUUAACUGCAUAGAAUUUUAGCUACCAGAUAUACAACAGCGUGAGCAACAGAUUAGGAAAAUAUUUGCAACAAAGAUGAUAGGCAAAGAGUUAAUAUGCAAGGAAGUCAAAUCAAUUUUAAAAACCCUGCCAUCUCACCAAAAUAAUGGAGAAGAGACAUGAUUAGGGAAAUGAAUGGCUAAUAAAUGUGAAAGGAGAAAUAUAAAAAGCUAAUAAGUAUGAAAAAAACGUAUUCUUUUUAGUAAUUAAAGAAAUGUAAACUAAAAUAAGAUGAAGAUAGUUUCUACUUAUUAAGGCUUAUCCUUCUUAAAAGAUAAGCCUUAAUACUGGCUAGGUUUCAGGGAGGCAUUCAGAUGCUGCUGGGAGGAGGGUGAGGAGAGUCAGCCUUUGGAAAGUCUUGAGUAACAGACAGUGAGAGCUUUAAAUGGGUAAAAGUAAUGUGUGAAAGGGUCAGUAUGUGCCUUGCGGAAAUCUGUCUUUAGGAAAUAAUCAGAAGUGCUGAUAUAAAUUUGUAUAGGCGACUGUUCACUGCAGAAUUAUUUGUAGUAGUUAAAAAGUGAAUAUCACUCAAGCAAUAAAUGUAAAUUAUGAUUCAUUAAUGAUGACAGUAAUGCUGACAUUAAAAAUCAGGAGAAGACUUCUGGGUGCGGUGGAGCACAGCUAUAAUCCUGGAGACUCAGGCUGAGGCAGGAGGAUAGCAAGUUCCAGGCCAGGCUCAGGAACUUAGGCACUAAGCAACUUAGGCACUAGGCACCCUGUCUUAAAAUUAAAAAAAGUAAAAAGGGGUGGGGAUGUAGCUCAGUGGCAUAGCACCCCUGGAUUCAAUCCCCAGUAAACACCCCCCCCCAAAAAAAAAAAUCAGGAGGAUUUAUUAAAAUGUGUUCAGUAUUUACUGAAAGUAUUAAUGUUUGUUGAAAAUGUGUUCAAUUUCAAUUAUGUCUAAAGUGCUACUAUAUAAAUGUGUACAAUUGGUUUAUAUUCUUGGUACACAGUAAUAAUAUUCCAGUGUUGUUAAGUGUAUGUGUUUGCAUUGAAUAGAGAUUGAAUGAAAAUCAGCAAUGUGGUAAAAACUGCUAUCUCUGAAUGGCCAGAUUACAUGUGAUUUCCAUUUUCUUUGUACUUUUCUGCCAGUUCUAAAUUUUCUAGAAUAGAAAGAAACUAUUUCUUUAAAUGGAAAAUAUGUUUUUAAAGAACUGAAUUGCUAAUAAAGCAGACUUAUUAUGAAGAAGACUUCCAUCUCUCUCCAUAAGUUCUGUCCUGGUGCCAUGAUUCGUUUCGUAGUUAAGGACUCCAUUUAUCCCCCAUCCUCAUCAGAUUACCAGCUUCUGCCAUUUUCCUCUUCUGUGCUUUCCAGACAUGACCCUUUCUUUCCCCUGCUGGUCAACAUGGGUUUUCUUCUCUCUUUCCAUUGCCCUUGGUUUUGAAUCCCAACCCUGGCCUGCCAGGUACCCUCUCAACACGUGCUCUGGGUUAGUUCUCAGACUCCCUCACACACACCAACCUUAUUGUCCUGACAUGCUGUGCUCACACAUCUCGGCAGUGUUCCUCUCUUAGCAACCCCCUGUGUUCAUCCACCCAUCCAUUCAACAGACAUUUACUAAGCAAACUUCAUGAGCCAGGCACUCCAAGGCCCAAAGAUCUAUUAAACAUCCUUUGUACCUCAGAAGAGCUCACAGUUCACUUGGGGAGGGUGUUGGUCAGCUUUCUGUCCCUAUAACAAAUAUCCAAUGGAGAGGAGAGGCUUAUUUUGGCUCACAGUUUUUAGUGGUUUCAGUUCUUCAUUGGUUGGCCCAGAUGCUUUAGGCCCAUAGUGAAGCAGCACAUCAUGGCAGAAGUGUGUGUCAGAGCCAAACUGCCUGCCUCGUGGCUGGGGAGCCAAAGAGAGGAAGAGGAAGGAACCAGUGUCCAUCAAUCCCCAGUGCCCUGAAGAUCUCCCACUAGGCCCUACUUUUUAAAGGUUCCACUACCUCUAAAUAUUCUCUACCUGGGAAUCACUCCUCUAACACAUGGGCCUUUGGGGGCCAUUUAAGAUCUACACUAUAGAAGGGAAACAGACAAAUAAACCACUAAUUACAUAUUGCAUAAUAAGUGCUACUUAUGUUAAGUGUCAUGUAGUGGUGGGGACUGGGAUUUGAACCCAGGUCUGCUGCCUCCAAAGCCAUAUUGCUCCAAAGUGAGGAAAGGGAAGCAUGUGCAGUGCUAUGAUGUGGCUGCCACCCUGGGCAUCUGUUGGGAAGGAAGAGGAGAUGAGUCUGCCUUGUGGCUGUGUACACCAUGCCGAGGUGUUAAAACUGCACCGUCUUACAGCUGGAAUGACAAUCCUUAUAACCAAUACUCUGUGCUGUGGUCUAUUCUAAGGGCUUUGUAAAUACUAACUCAGUUCAUCCUCACAACAGCUCCAUGAGGUAAAACAGCCGUGUCUUUUUUUACAUCAAGAAACUGAGGCACCAGCAGAUUAAAUGAUUUGCACAGUGACAUAGUAGUUGGCUCUAGAGUCUGAGCACUCUAUUCCUGUACUUUAAGAAUUCAUUUUAUGUGCUUAACGCUCUUUUCUCUGAAAAUAGGAGGUAAAACAGGAAAGGUCAGAGACUGUCAUGUGCACUUUGGUGUCCUAGCAGAACGCUGCUGACCUCAAAACACGAGUGCUCAGACAGUAAAUUUGAAUCGAAUUGAGUCGAUUUGAACCAGAGGCUUUGAAGGGCUCUGUGAAAUACUCUACUCUUGCUUUGAUAAAUGCCCAGACUUACGUUGGGACAGGGGUUGAAGAGAAAGAAAACAUCUUAACUUGACAUUUAAUGCCCUUCAGAAAUAGAUAGCCAAUCUGAGUAGACUGAACUUACCCUCUGAAGUCCCUGCCUGCCAGGCUCAGGGUCUCUUCAGGUUGGAAGCAUCUUAGCAGCCAGUCGCCUUGUUGAACCUCCCACCCAUUCCCAGCUGUGACUGACUGGAAGGCUGUAAGAACACCAUUCUGGAAUGUGAGAGACUCUCGCUUUUUAAACUCACUUGUUCUAAGUCUGUAGCUUUUUAGAGGGAGAGAGAGAGCGAGCCCUGCCUGGUCAGAUUCCAAUAGAAUAGUCAUAAAGUGUAGGUUUAAAGGGGAUGCUAUGCAAAUGAACAUUUGCUUCCUCUCUGAGCCAGGAGCCUAAGCAGUAAGCAUACAGAGCGUGCUCAGUGUUGUGUUAUUGGAUUGGUGGGUGGAGCUGCAGGGUCACAGUAGGAACGUCACUGAAGGCUCACAUGCCUGUGUGUGCCAAGGGGAGUACCUUAAGCCUUUCUCUUCACCCUCACCACCUGCCCUGCCCUUGCUCACGUGCGUAGGAGGUACCAGCUGCCGUGAGGUCAUGUGAGGACACUGGGCACUUCUCAUUCCAACCAUAGCAUGGCAUUUACUUGAACAGGGCAGGAGCGGGGAGGGAAGGGCUCAUCACAGCUUUCCCUGCGAUAGCUCUACCUGAUCCCUCAAAUUAAAACCAACCCAGGUUCAACAAAGUCCUCUUCUUUUAAUAAUAAAAGUGCCUAAUGUUAAUUGGGGACAUUUCCUUAGUGUGAGGUUCUGUGUCCCGGUAGAAGGUGAGCACAUGCAACUCCUAUCUGCCUUUACCACUUGUCCGAACUAUGGUUCAGAGAAGUUUGGUGACUUGCCUGAGAUCACAAAGCCGAUCACUGGAGGAGCCGAGGCUCAGAUCCAGGUAGUCUUCUCCCUGAGUCCCUGCUGAUAGCUUUUGUAUUACAUUUUCUUGGCCAUGAGGCCUCUGGCCUCUAAAUGUUUCCCCCUUCUUCCUCCAGCCCGAAAUCAUUAUCCUUCUUCCAAAUUCCCACACUGCUUUGGCUGCAUUUCUUUUAUGGGACUUGCCAGUUUUUACAGCUUAUUAUUGUCAUUUCUGUUCACUUUUCCUAUUCAACUGGGGACAUGGAAGCAGGGUCCAUUUCUUUGUCCUUGGUGUGUUUUCCAUGGUAUCACAUGUAAGAUGUAGCCAAGCAGGAACGAGUUUUCCUCAUCAGAUCUGCCCUGUCUAAGCCACCAUACCAUAAUAGGAAUUUGGGAAUCUAUAAAAUGACCUGUAGGCAUUCUUGAGUACAGCAUCCCUAGGAAAAGUAAAGGUUUAACUGAGAAAGACUAAAUUAUGGUCUCUUUAACAAAAAUAGGCCAGUCAUACGGCUCAGUCCGCCUUAUUCUGCCUGGUCCCUUGCGGUCCUAGUGCUGUUGCUGUUCAGAAAUCACGCGUGGCCCAGUCUUCCUGUAACUCUUGUGUGUGGUUCAGAUUUGCUGCUCCUUUGCUGUGGGUUUGUUUUGUGUAGGGUUGAAGUUUCCUUUGAUCCUUUAGGGCAGGCUGCAAGAGACAUCCCCAUCUCACACGGCUUCAGAUUCACACUGAAGGAUCUAGUUGUCAUUAGCGGUUCUUGCUUUACACAAAUUGACACACCACAUGGAUCUCAGAGCAUUCUGUGAAAUGACUGCCGCAGCUGUGGAUUACGCCUGGGAUGCCCCACUUUCUCUUUCUCUGCUUCUCUCUCUCUUUUUGUUUCUCUUUUCCCUCUGUGCAAGGCUGCUUCCCUCUAAUCUUGCUUCUUGAGCCGUGACAAAUGAGAGGAGGGUAAGUUCAUAUCCUGAUCUAGUUUUUGGCAACAGAGAGCUGUUUGGAGGAUGAACCCAACUCUAUAACACCUCCCAUUUGCUACCCUUGAAUAUCUUUCUGGGUGUCUUGCUAAUGAUUUCUGUUUUUCUCCUUAACCAUUUUGUAACUACUAAGUUAUGUUUUGUUCAUAUCUUUGCAUAAAUACUUGUCAAUAAGUAAAUCAGUGAAGAAAACAAAGGCAAGAAACUGGAGCAUCCAGGUCAUUAUGAUAAGCACUGGCACCCCUGCUCCUCCAAAUACAACCCGAAACACGACAUUUAGGGCUGUCCUAGCACCACCACCGGCAUCCAGACCUUCAGUGAAUCACAAGCUUAUGUUUGUCCCCAGGUCAGUCUUGACAUUUAUGCUGCUUUUGAUAGGGCAUAAUCCCCAGCUGGCCCAGGUGCUGUGCCACCGCCCCUGCUUCCCUCCAUCAGCAUAGCAACAAAUCUAGCUAAUCUUUAAUGUCGUCUGUGCACCUUGAUGCAAGCGCCACAUACUGCUCCCUCAAAAGGAAAAGGCUAGGGUUCCCUCUGUGCACUGUCUUCUAGGAGAGGCUAGAGACCAAGAAGUCCCUGAGGCCAAGCCACCUAGGCCCCUCAUUGAUACCGUCCUUGGUCUUCCUAUCAUGUCCUAAGGAACGGAAUGCCCUACUCCUCCCAAGGAGAGGACACGGGGGCUGAACCAGGACCUAGCUGGGUCUGGACUCUAUGACUGCCACGGCUGGGGACUGUGGUGUGGUCCUGCCUCUUGCUGACAUUCAGGAAGAAUGUCCCAUUAGAGCCCCUGUGACUCCCAGUGCACCUCAUGGGCACCUGGUCCAGGUCCUGCUGGCUCAUCCCGGCUUUAGUGGCUCUUCAAGGGGCCCAUGUAGAUGUCCCUGACCUCAGGGUUGCACUGUCACAAGAGUUCCAGUGACAUGGUGAUCUGAUUUCACCCACAGUCUGAAAGCAUCAUCUUGCCACCUUCUACCAUCUGCCUUGGGACAGAUUCUAGAAUAAGGUACUUCAUGACUUAGACCAAUAUUCCCUGAGUGCCCAGGCAGCUUCAUUGACCCCAUUUUCUCCUACCACCUGAGGACAGGGAGUCUCCCUUCUGGCAGCCCUUGUCCUUUCUUCCAUAGGCUUGGUCAAAGUUUGUUAAUGACUUUGAAAGGGAAGGGACUGGGGUUCAGACUACUUCACUCAAAGAAGACCUCUCUGCUUCCAUGUCAACUAGUGUCUGCACCUGGAUUUGUGGGCCAAAGACACCUGGGGACUCUAGUUAAGCACAUUUUGCUCCAAAUAUAGGCACAUGUAGGGCAGGGGUAGACAUUCCUCCACUCACUUUCAGAUUCCGAGCCCAGGCUGUGGGUCAGCCCACCUGUGUAGUCCUGUGCAUAGUGAUCUUUUUACCCGUAAGGGUGAGGGCGGGUUGAGGGGGAAUCUAUUAGUCAUUGAGGCCCCCAAGUUUUUUUUUUCUUGUUUUUUUUUAAAGAGAGAAUUUUAAUAUUUAUUUUUUAGUUAUCAGCGGACACAACAUCUUUGUUUGUAUGUGGUGCUGAGGAUCGAACCCGGGCCGCACGCAUGCCAGGUGAGCGCGCUACCGCUUGAGCCACAUCCCCAGCCCCCAAGUUUCUUACAUGUCAGUUAACUUCUUGUUUUUUACUCACCUCAUUUAAUUUAGACCUUUUUAAUAUAAUUGUUCACAAGCAAAUAUUUGCAGAAAAACACUUAAAUAUUUUUCCAUAUAUAAAAAUUAUAGUGUAAACUCAUUUUUUCCCUAAAGAAUAAAUAAUGCCAUAUUCAGCAUGUACAGUUAAUCAAAUAAAUAGAAAUUCAGAUGCUUCCGAGCCCUGUUUUAUACAUGGUGCAUUAUGACUCACUGGAGGGGAAUAAUCAGCAUUUUCAAUGACAUAGGAAUGGAGUGGAGUAGAGUAGCAUAGGAAAUACAAGUGACUUAUGCUUAGCCAGGGUUAGUGUGGCUGCAUGAAACUCUCAUUUCAGUCUUGUUGGCAUAUGCCUGUGUGUAUAUACGUGAGCUCACAAAAUCACAUGCACACAACAAAGAACAUCCAUUUGCAUGUGUCCUGUGAGUCCUAAAGCUCUGGGUAAAAAAUGUCUCUUCCUGGGCCACAUUCAAGCAAAAAUUGAGAGUUGCAGCUAGGCCCCCUCCAGCCCUGGCUGAGCUGCCUCCAUCACUACUUCCUUAGCCGCUUUGGGUGCUGCUUCCCUUUCUCCAACUUCCAAAUGCAUUUUUCUUUUCUUAGAGCCAAAUCAUGCAUUCCUGACUGGUUGUACCAUCUUUGAGCCCUUGUUUUUUCAUUCUUGAAAGAUGACUUGAGGGGAAAAUCAGAAAUAGUGAUAAGCAGACACUAGAUAAAUAGCAUAUCAUCCUUCUCCUUUGAAUAUCAUAUUAAAAACAAUUUCUGUUGCUAUUUUUAAAUGUUGCUCAACUUAAUAUGUACUUCUGCUUUUGAAAAUGCAUGCCUGUUACCACAUGUAAUGCAUGGUAGUGGUUUGGUACGUUGCCCUGCUGAAGGUUUGACGAUAUCCAUCUCCUUUGUGUUACUGGAGAAAGUCAGUAUGGAGAGGCCUUCAAAUACCUAGGCAUGUUGCAGAAUGGCCAUUUUCACUACUGAAUUUCUCAUGUGGGAUCCCAGGGAAAUAUAGCAAUUCAUGGUACCCUUGAAUACACAAUUGGAUAUUUACAAAAGGAGCAAAUAGUAAAACUCCUAAAAGCACCAGGCAGGCACUCAAGUGUGUACUCCUGCUGUGAGCUGCUGGUAGCAUGCACCAACAAAAGACUAGGAGGCCUCCUCUUAGAUGCCAACCCUUAUCUUAAUGCCUGGUGCACUCGGAGAAUGUCACUAUCAGAUAUGGCAAUUCAUUUCCUUAAGACAGAACUCGGAGUUGAAAGAAGGUUAAAUGAAAAGGAACACAGCAGUGCCAGGUUUCCAGCCCUUUCCUUUGUGCUUAAAUAUUAAUAGAUGCUUGGCAUAAAAGCUCAUGUAGCUUUGUAGACUCUCCAGUGGCAGCAGGGCUUCAGGUUGGAUAUGCACUGUUAAUUCUUCAUUUGGUUUUCUUUGGUUACUUAGCAUACUUCUGCCUCCUGGGAUGGUAGUGUGAUAAACCAGUGUAGUUCAACAGGUAGUAGCUGGUGAAGAUGACUCUACUGUGACCUGGAUAUCUUGUCAUGUCUUCUGAUCUACAUAAAAUAUAAAAGAGCCAGGCAUUUAUAUAUACAGAAAUAAAUAUAUCAUAUAUAUAUAAUGUAUAAAUAAAGUAAGAAUUCAUUUUUAAAAUGUUUUCACUUGUGGGGUGGAACCUGCCUGUAAUUCCAGUGACUGGAAUUACAGAGGAAGGAAGAUGGCAAGUUUCAGGCCAGUCUGGACAAUGUAGUAAGAUCCUGUUGCAAAAUAAAAUAAAAACAGCUGGAAAGGUCAUUCGGUAGAGUGCUUGCCUAGCAUGUGCAAGGUCCUGGAUUCAAUCCCCAGUAGUGCCAAUGUGUGUGUGGGUGUGUGAAUGUAUUUUUAAAUAUGUAUGUAUUUAUGUGUGUGUGUGUAAGACAGUUUAUUUUUAAAAUAUGUUCCAUAUCUUUAUUCAUAGAAUCAAACAAAACUCCAUUUGGCGGGGGAAGGGGGGAGGGAUAAGCCUUGUGUUUUUUAAUGCACUGAAAGUAUUACAUAUCUGUAGCUAACUAACAGAGAGGAUUUGGAGUGUUCCCAAAUCCUAAAGAAAUGAUAAAUGUUUGAGGUGAUGUUUAUACUAGUUACCCUGAUCUGAUCAUUCCACAUCAUAUACAUGAAUUGAACUAUCACACUGUUUCCUGUAAAUAUGUACAAUUAUCAUGUCCAUUAAAUUAAAAAAAAUUAAAGAAAAAAUUAUCUAAAAGUAAGAACUGACAUGCAAACAUCCCUGAAACAAAUUAAUGUAAGAGGGGCCUAUCUUACAUGGGAGGGUGAGGCAGAAGGCUUGGAUUCUAUGCUCUGUACCAGCCUGAGGAUCAAGCCCAGACUCUAAUUUUUCAGAGACAUAAUUUCUUUUCUUUUUCUUUUUGGGUACUAGGAUUGAACUCAGGGGCACUCGACCACUGAACCACAACCCCAGCUCUAUUUUGUGUUUAGAGACAGUAUCUCUCUGAGUUGCUUAGUACCUCACCGUUGCUGAGGCUGGCUUUAAACGUGCAAUCCUCCUGUCUCAGCCCCCUGAGCUGCUGGGAUUACAGGUAUGAGCCACUGUGUCUGGCCUCUGAGAAAAAAUGUCUAUAUCUAUAAAGUAUCUUUCAAUGCAGCUCUGAGUGUACAGUGAGCUACUUAGAUGGAGAUGAGCACUGUGUCAUCGUUUCUUUUUAUCAUUUUUUUUUUUCCUAGUUAGAAAUAUCACACAAUCCACAUAAUUUUGCAUGCAAGGUCAUUCCACACUUUCCCUCUCCUAACACUGUUCUUGGUGGUGAAUAUCACAGAACUCUGCAAAGUUGCUUGGUGUGCUUGCUGUCAGGCUCCUCACCUCCUCCUGUGAGCCUUUGGUGCCACCACAGAACAGCUUAUAAAUUAGCUUUGCUAAUCUUAGGCACAUAUCAAUUAUUCACCAGCCUGGCUCCUCCUGUACUUUAUCUUAUAGAAUCCACCCACACCGUUGCCCCAUCUUUCUAACUCUCAAUCUGCAAGUGAUAUAUUAAUAUUAGGUUUCUAUGGCCUGACUUUAUACUACACGUCAGCAGAUUUCUUCUGCGUCUGCCUUUACUUAUAUGAAACUUUCUAUGACGGUUAAGAAGCCAACACCUGGCUAUUUCCUACUUUGCACUGUCAAUUAUACUUCAUAUCAUACAUCCGAUAUAUCGUUUAGCUUUUAAAAGAGAGAUUACAAUGUAUAAGCAAGAAUUCCUGCUUAAGUUUAUUUUCAACACUGUGUGCUGUUACCCAUGUUGAAUGAAAUAGUAUGAAGGGUGUUCCCUGCUCUUUUCAAAUAGAUGUAAUUCAAAAUCACACAUACUACAGUUAUUACUUUUUUUGCGUAGGAAGAAAAUUCUGUGCAAUAUCAAGUUGCUGAGGCUUUCCCAUGUAAACAUGAUUGAUGAUAAGUCCAUGACUGUCAGAAAAAAGUCUUAUGGACUUAAAGAAAUUCAUCCUAUUUAUAAUUUUCCCUCUAUUUUUACCAUGGAUACAAGCAAAGGAAGCAGAACUAUCUGAGGCAGGGAACCACAUGAUGUCAUUAAUUGGCUCUCCUGACAGGGUUGAUAAUUAUCCUCUGAAUGCCUUACAUAAAAGAUCUGAUGGCUCCUAGACAAAAUCAAGGCAGCUCAGAAAAGGAGACUGAAAUUAUAAUGUGAAGUCUCUCUCUCUCUCUUUUCUUUUGAUACUGGGGCCUUGCACCUGCUAAGCAGUUAAUCUACCACAGCUAUAUCCACAGCCCUUUUUAUUUUAUUUUGAGACAGGGUCUCACUGUCAUCCAGGCUGGUCUUAAACUUGCAAUCCUCCUAUCCAGCCUUCUGAGUAGCUGAGAAUACAGGUGUAUGCUACCACCCCCAGCUAGAUAAGUAAUGUUUUUACAGAGAUGUCAGAACAAUAAAAUUAGUCAUACUCCUUAUUUGUUAAAUAUCUAAAACGGACCAUGAGGUCUGCCCCCCCAGUCAUCUUGCUAUUGAUUAGUGCAGGGGUGGAAGAGAGUAAAUCAACCAUAAUAAGAAUCCUUUCAUAGUCUGAGUAAUUAAGAAUUGGAAUUAACAACAAUUAAAAAACAAACAAGCUAAGGCUUAAGAAAAUCAAGGAUCCAGUGAAGGAAAUCAAUACCACUGAGGUUGGACGAUGUACAACAUUUUGCCCAUAAUCUGACAUAUUUCACACAGCAGAUAUAUUGUUGGGUAUAUCUCCAUGUCUUAUAACAAUGUCAGAGGGUACUCUGCUCCUGCAAAGGUCACAUUGUAUUAAAUAAAAUAUUUUCAGACAUUUGUUCUUAAUUUCAUGAAUUAAGAAAUUGUUGUUUUUGACAAUAUUUAUCCAAAUCUUUCCAUUUCUUAAGAUUUUGUUGGCAAGAAACUUCCAUUUGUUUAAUAAACUUUUAUUAAGCAUUAUUAUAUGCUAGUAACUAUGUUAUGGCUAGGGCUACUGAUCUCAGUGUGUCAUAGUGCUUGAUAUUUAGUGAAUAAUUGCAUAAAAGAUGAAUAAAACACAUAACAUCACCAACUCACACUCUAACUCACAAGAUGGCGGAGAAAGACAUGAACAGAAAAUCACAGUGAAACUAACUGAAGGGCAGUAAAAGCAAUUAAGAAGUUCUGUAAGGGCUGAGGUUGUGGCUCAGUGGUAGAGUGCUUAUCUCACGCAUGCGAGGCACUGGGUUCGAUUCUCAGCACCACAUACAAAUAAAUAAAUAAAAUAAAAAAUGUCAUAACAACCAAUAAAAUUAUUUUUUAAAGAAGUCCUGUAAGAGUGAGUGGCAAGUGAAAACACCUCCAGAAGAUAAUAAAGUUAAGGGAUACAAUUAUUAAUAUUUAUAUUUACAAAUACUCAAAAGUCACAGCAAAUUUUGCGGGGAAGAAAAUAAAGUGAGAUGUGCUUAAUAUGAUUUACCCAGAAACAAAAAUAGAUUAAGAAUUUGCGUUUCUAAGCAGUCUUAAUUCCCAAUAUUUUUUAAAAUAAAGGAUAGAAGCACUGUGUUUAAUCAACCAUUUAGCCACAGUAAAUUACAUGUCUUUUUGUUAUGUAGAUGAAGCCUCCGACCAUCUGGAACACAUUUCAUAUGACAUGCUAUUACUCACCAAGGUAGAGGUACUCACCUUUGUCAUUCUUGCUGUAUCUACACCUAUUCAAAAAGUUGAAUAGCUUACAGGGUGUAGAAUUGAGAUUAAGUUGGGAUGGGCAUUUAUUUUUCCUUUUUUAUUUUUUUUUGUACCAGGGAUGGAACCCCGGGGCACUUAACCACUAGGCCACAUCCUCAGCCCUUUCUAUUUUUUAUUUUGAGAAAGGGUCUCACUAGGUUGCUUACAACCUUGAUAAAUUGCUGAAGCUAUCUUUGAACUUGUGAUUCUCCUGCCUCAGCCUCCUGAGCUGCUGGGAUUACAGGAAUGCGCCACCAUGCCUGACUGGGAUAGGCAUUUUUGAGAUAAUUUUUGGAAAUACUUGGGGUUUCUUGGUGGUUCGUUUGGGAAGCACAGAGAGAAUGUAUUUUAUUCUUUGCUCUUUUUCUUAUUUUGAAUUGUCCAGAAGCAGGUAUACAGAAUAGAAGCCUAGUAUUGAUCUUUUAGUACUUGAAGACAAGUCCUUUCUAUAGGAAGUGUUUCACCGAUAGCAGCUAUUUUUACUUGAGUUUCAACAAAAUGCACAAAUUGAUAUUUGUUUUAUUACUUAGGCUUUAUUUAUAACAGUGUUGACCACAACUAUUCACUAUUUGGUUUUUUUAUUGUUAUUGUUUUUGCAAAUAUCUAGGAUUUUAAACAGGUCUAGCUUUAAAUAUAGAUCCCAGCUAAACAACCAAGUGAUUUUGUGCAGUUUACCUAACCUCUUUUAAGUGGGGACUCCAAUGUUCCCACAUCUAAAAUGAAAAUAAUAAUGUUUUUUGGGGGGGAAUAAAGAAACUAAUUGAUCCCUCUGGUAUGUGUAGCAUAAUGUCUUGCAGGUGGCAUGCGCUAAUAAAGUGAGUGGCAGGGCUUGCACUGAGCAAGGCCCCUGAAAUUGUGCAGUGUACAACUUGCACGACUCUUGAUGUCAGCCCUGGUUGAUUAUUUUUGUUAUUUUUCUCUGGGAAAAAGUGGUCUGAGACCCCAACAUUUGAUAUUCCUAAGGCUUUUAGGUUGAGACUUUGUGUUAGAAAUUCUGACUCCUUGGUUUCACUUAGUAGAACCUUGAGAAAUCAACCACAGUCACGCACUGCUUAUUGUUGUGGUUAAUGAUGGAUCUCACCUAUGAGGAUGUACACCCGAGAGCCUCGGCCUGUAGUCAGCUGUACCAUGUAGCUUUGUGCAAUUGCACACUAUGAUGUUGGCAAAUGCCGAAAUCACCUAGUGACACAUUUUUCAGAAGGCCGCCCUAUUGUUAAGUGACACUGGACUGUAUUGAAGGUGUUCAGGGGUAGGAUUGAUGUGAACUGGAGCCAUCAGAGAAACUUUUCUAAAGAUCUGGUGCUUGGAGAAUGGGCAGGAGAAAGGGAUAUUUAAAUUAAGGAAAAGGGUUUUGUGCCUUGGAGUCAAAGUUUAAAUGGGGUUUAGUGCUAAAUUUGAAGCAAAAGGGACUAUUAUGUCAUUUUGACUGGAAGAAAAUCAGAAAGAACCCACCUCUUAGAACCCCACUUGAGGAAUGGGGUUCCAGCCUCCUUAUAAGGGGAGCCCUUCCCCAUAUCAUUCCUGGACCCUCCAUUCUGAAAGUCUUUUCCUUCAGAGGUGCACAUCCAAGGUGACGUCAUCUAUGGAGCCAGGCUCACAGCCCCUCAUCCUUGUGUCCCCAUGAGGGGCUCCGGAGGCUACACUCUCCCUGACUCUGACAGAGCUGGGUUAGAGAGCGCCAUGGCCGAGAAGAAGCAGUACUGUCUGUGGCUCACCCCUCCGCCCUGGGAGCCAGAGCCAGUUUCCCAGCCUGGAAUGAAGCAACCUUAACUAAGGACCCCCCUGGGACCGCUGGGAGCUGAAAACCACAGCAGAGAUUUGUCCCGACAGCCAUGGCUCUCAGACAACAAGGAGAGAUAAUUUUAGACCACAAACUUUGACCUCUUGAAUAGAAGGAGAAUGACGUAAAUAGAGGAAAAACAAAGUGCACGGAACUCAUAACAAGUAGAAAAAUGGUAGGAUUUCAACUGCUAGGUUUUAAGACGUGACACAGUUUUAAAGAUUUUCAAAAAACUCACAUUGGCGAGUUUAAAGCUUAACCUUGCUAUCAUUCCUUUUGUUUUAUUUGGAGUGCUACAUGGGUUAGGAGCUGGUUAAAGUUAUAUGCCACUGUGACAUCUAUUAUUUAUUUACAUUUUGCUUUGCACAGAUGGUACAUAGUGUCCUAAUGCCUCACCCUUAGUGUGUUAGUUUCCUAUAUCUGCUGUGACAAAUUAUCACAAUUAUUUAGUGAUGUAAAGCAACACAGAUUAUUCUUUCAUAGUUCUACAGGUCACAAGUCUAAACUGGGUCAGUCUGGUUGUGUUUCUUCUAGAAAUUCUAGGGGAGAAGCCUUACCUUGACUUCUCCAACUCCUGGAGGCUGUCUCCCGUGCUAGGCUCCUGGCCCUGUACUCUGUCCUCUGUUUACCUGGCCACAUCUCCCUCUUGACUCUGGCCCUCUUGUCUCCCUCUUAAAAGGACCUUUGUGAUUAUACUUAGGACCCUCUCAGGUGCUCUCCCCAUCUCAAGGCCUUAACUUAAUCUCUGCAAAGUCCUUUUAGCCAUCUUAGGUAAUUCAUUCAUAGGUUCCAGGGAUUCGGAUAUGGACAUCCUUGAGGAGCUGAUAUUCAGCCUACCACAGUCAGGCCUCACAAUGCGUUAGACCAACAACUGAGAGCAAAAUCAAGUGGUAGAAAAAAUGUGAAAAUGUUGGAACUGGAAAGUUAUGCAAGGUCAGAGUGUCCUUGUCCAGAAUCUUGUAGUUGAAAGCAUUAUCUGUGUGACAAAUGAAAAUAUAUUUGGAUAUUGUGUUCAGGAAGGGGGGCUUCUCCCUGGACUUGCUUAUAAAUAUUUGUAUAUGUGGUCCAGACCCUGGUCAUCACUCAUUCUGCUGUGUUUGUUCCAUUAUCCAAGGUAACCAAGGGCCCGCUACCCACUGGAUGCCGCCAUCCAGGCCAGGCAAACCACAUUCAUGCCAGCUCAUUUCCUCUGGGCAUACAUUGUGUCUUUGUCUUAUAUUUAGCAUAUAAAUUGGUUGUCAGCCUGUCUCAGAGCAGUAACAUGACCUUGCAGCUUAGCAUAUCACAUCCUUUAAAGGACAAUAAUGUUUUCCUGGCUUUCCCUUGUGGCUCAUGGAACAAGAUGGUGUGGAAAGCAGUGGGAAGAACAGUCACAAAAGAUAACAGCCCUUCAGUUAGAAGCUGAGAUAGCAGAUGGCACCCUUGCUGUUUGCCACAGAAAAGGUCCUCUUUGGGAGAUUGACAGUGGCCAAGGGGGCUGUGUGUGCAGAGUUCCUGCAUUGAUGGAGAUGGAAGGACUCUCUGUAGAAGUGCCACAUCGAGGGGUGAAGAAUGGGGGCACCUGCUGAUCUUGGGAUCUGGUAGGUUGGGAGUGGCUUCAUGAUGCUCAGUACAGAUCCUUAGAUGCUGCUGAGGUUGGGGGGAGGUCACGCUGUCCUCACGCUGGGGGUGCUGUGCCAGGCUUCUCUAUACCUACCUCUCCAUCCCUAGCUUUGCCCACCCUGUGGCCCAGGAGAGAGCCAAGCUGCCCCUGGCCUUGUCUCUCAGUGAACGAUGGGAAAACCACGUGUCACAUACCCCCCAGGGCAUAAGCGAGACUUGUUGAUGCCCACGUAAAACUCAAAUUCAUUGAGAAUUCACUGAGGUGCCAGAAACUACUAUUAGUUCUUUACAUAAGUUGGCAUUUAAUCCUCAGGACUAUGUAUUGGAAAUGCUCCUCUAAUUUUAUAGAAAAUGGACACAAAGUGAUUAAGUAAUGUGCCCAAAGCCACCAGCUGGUGGUGCUGAAAUUGUGUUAAACCCAGACCGGCUGAAGCAGAAGCCCACACUUGAUCUCUCACUAUACCCCAAGAUAAGAUGCCAAAUGCACUUGAGUAAAGAUUUUUAAGAAAAUUCUAAUAAUAAUGUAAACACAGGGUUUUACAUAUGUGAAUUCAUUUAAUCCUUAGAGAACCUGAGGUAAUAAAUAAAUAAAGUUUACUGGAAACAGGCAAAGAAAAAGAAAAAAGAGAGAACCUGAGGAACAUCUGGUUAUUACUGAUGUUUAGACAGAGGCAUAGGAGGGGCUGAACAACUGUCCCAGGAAGUAGCAGAACUAGGAUCUGAAGUCAGGCAGCCCACCUUUGUGUUCCAAAAGGGAAAAAUGCUGUCACUGAGACACAGAGAUAACGCCCAAGUUGUAUGCUUAAACAAUGGAACUGAUUAAGAUUGUGGAGGGCACUGUAAUUAGUUCAACACAGAAAUAAAUCCAGGAAGAAUAAAGGAAUAAAGUCUCUUUCAUGUCCUUAGGGAGUUUGUAGCUGUGGAGAGAUGGCAUAGACAUGGUCAAUUAUAAACUCAGAUGAAUUUUGAGACUCAGAAGAAAUGAUGGUCAGAGAAGGGGGUUCUGGUGCUUCGGAGACUUGCCUUCUAAAGAGAUAGGUAGGUGCCACCCACCCACAGGAUUUUCCCCUCAAAUUUCAUCAGUUACCUGUGCAUGCACUGGGUACCCUCCUGUUCAUGAUGCUUGUGUAUACCACCUUCCACAGGAAAUACAAGCCUAAGGACCUGUGGGAGGUGAUGAGCUACUGGCUUACCUGUGAAUAAGGCAAGAUAUUUGGCUUGAGGAGGAAAGUGACCCAGGCAUAGGACCAUAAAUGACAAUGAAUGGAGGCAGACAGAACCAGGCAGAGCUACCCAGUGGCAAAGCACGAGAUGGGCAGUGAGAUAAAUGAUGUUAAAUAAGCUUAGGAUGGAUAAGGGAGGUGGAAAAAUUAACAUACUGAAGACUCUACAACCUUUCUUCAGGGUUUACAUUUUUCUUUAGGACCCUCAUCCUUAAUUCCAAUCUAUAAUGAACACAGUUAUGGUGAGAUUUUGGUUGUAUUUUUAUUGCAUUAUGACCAGACAUGUGAUUUGUGAUGAGAAAGGUGUUUAUCAAAGAAAAAAGGUCCCCAUAUGGCGGCUUCUAAGAACCCAGAUUAAUCUUACAGUUUGUUAGAUCAGAAGUCCACCAUGAACCUUACUGACCCAAGCAGGGGUACUUGGGGUACUCCACAGGGGAUCUGUCAUCUGGCUUCUUCCACCUUCCAGAGGCUGCCCACUGUCCUUGCUGCCAGACUCAGUGCUUCUCAUGCUGCUUGCCAUCCCUCUAGCUCUGUCGUCAUAAUCACAUCUUAUCCCUUUCUGUUUUUAAUAUAUGGAUCUUGAAAGUGUUGGGACCCUGCCAUUCUCUUCCCAAUGGUGUCACCAGUGGUGGCUGCCUUUCAGCUACUGAGUAUAACUCAGUAUACCUGAGGAUGUAGUAACAGCGAUCAAGGGGGGAGGUGGUAGACAUGUUGCCAGGACUCAGAAGCAUGUGCAGGUGUGACAAUAUAGAGGUUAAAGCAGAGAGAAGGUGGAGCACCAGGAAGUAUGUCCUGGUGAGUCUGAAUUUUCUAUUAAGAACAUUUUAAACAUUGUGCUUAUAUGGGGUUGUGGCUCAGUGGUAGAGUGCUCACCCGUGUGAGAGGCAUUGGGUUCAAUUCUUAGCACUUCAUAUAAAUGAAUAAAUAAAUAAAUAAAGGCCAUCAACAACUAAAAAAAAAAUCUAAAUUGUGCUUGUCAAAUGAAUUUAUGCUUCUAGAAAAAAUAUAUGGUUUUUAUUAUUCAGAGCAAGCAAUUCAUGAUUCUGUUAUGAACAGAUAGUUAUUAACCUAGGCAGCACGACAUAGACAUUGAAAAAAAUUUUUUUUUAGAAAAAUCUGCAUUCUAUUAGACAUGUAGAAAUUAUAUUCCCCGUUAUUUACUUCCCAUCUCUCUAUUAUACUCCACAUUACAAUUUGGUGGGAAUAGAAAAGUUGAUCUGUAUCACAUAGAAAUGUGAACCUGGCAGCAAAACAGGUUUCCAUUAAAAAUAGAGAAAAGUGGACCAAAAGAAGAGGCAGAAAGGUUUUAUUACAUUUAUUUUUGUCCAUUUCUGUAAUUUUUCCUGUUUUAUUUUAAAACCCUGGUCACAUGGUGCCAGAAUUUAUAUUUAUGGUUAAAUAAAUAUAUCCAUCAGACCCAAGUUUAUAUAAAGAAAAUAAUGCUUGUCUCGGGUAGAGAGGUAUUUUUAAAUCUUCAUAUUUUUAUAUUGGUUUAGUAGCUUUAGGCUAUCUUCCCCGACCCCCAGGCUCUCAGUUCUGAUUUUCUCACUUCCUGUCUAGCAUUGGACUUUGUCAAUGUGCCUGUCCGUACAGGACAUCCUCACCCCUUCAUUGUUCUUUAAUUCUGUUCUUGCCUUUCUGUCUUACCCACAUGUAGUCUCAGACUUUCUCUGAUGAAUGACUCAAUAGUUAAGAGAAACCAAGCAAAACGUCACCCUUGAAGUAAAUUACUGGCCUAGUUUAUGUGCCAAGUCACUUUUAGAAUUCCAUAAUUAUUUUUUAAUCAGGUACAUCAGUGAAUUUUUAAAUACCAAUAAGCAAUAUGAAAAGGCUCAUGUUUACAUGCUUUUCAAAAUGAAGUAUUGCCAUGGCCUGAGGUUUGAACUUUCUAGUAAAGAGCAUUAUUGAUUCUUUGUUACUGCCUCAAUCAUCCUGUGGGGUAAUACCUCCAAAUCACAGGAAGAUGACUGGGUUUGGGUUAGUAGUUAAAGAAGAGGAAGGGGAGUCUUCUCAAGACCAAAUCCUAAUACAAACUGUUUGAGAUAUAUUUGUUACAGUCAAGUUUCAGUCUUGACUUAAUGUGAUUGAAAGCUCUGUGCUGAGGAUUCUGGGUCUUUGAUCAAUUAGUAAUGGGUGCAGAAUUUGGAUUGUAAGCAUACAUACCACAUAUUUCUAUUCUUAAUAAAUCUACAUGAAGUAACAGAUUUUUAAAAAACAAAAACAAAAACAAAAAAGCACCAUGACUUUGUGGAAGUAAAGAACUUGGUCUCCAACCAGGUCAUGUGGGUCAAAAUUAUCACUGCAUCUUUAUCUAGUUGUAUAAUACUGGGAAAUCUGGUUAACCCUUCUGCAAUCCAGGAAAUGGAUAUAAUACCUGUAUUACAUGAUAGUAUAAUAUAAUUCCUAAACAUCAGUAAUUAAUCAGAACAAUACAUACAAGGCACAUAGGCCCUGUAGAGCCUUUAUAAGUGGUAGAUGUGCUAGUUAUUUCCAUUUUAUCAUCUCACACUCAUCUUCAAAAAAAAAAAAAAAGUCUUUAGAUCAUGAGGCUCCUGUGGGAAGGAGGGGUACCCAAGCUAAGUCAAUCACAUUAUACUCAUCCCAAGCCACUUGGGGAUAAGCUUCUUUUCCAAUCAGAACAACCAAGUCCUUCCCUGGGAAAUUCAGCUGGGGAAAGAGACAAUUUCUAUCAGUUAGCAUGUGGUCCCAGAGCCAGGGGUCCUGCUCCAUGUGGCAGCCUGUCUACAGUAGAAAGAAUAAAAUCCAAGUGCAGCAUCUUAGAGUCUAGUUCCAGAGAGUGAAAACUUCAUCCCAAGGCCUGGGUGUUUGGUCAUCUUUUCCCUCAAUUUUUUUAAGCUCCAUCUUCCAUCCCAACUCCUUCUAUGUUCACUUUGAGCUAUAGAUUUCUAAUCUUUAACUUUAGACUAGAUCCGGACUCCGAACAGUUCUAAUAUGGUAAUUAUAAUUAUGUCUAUUUUUUAAGAAGCUAGUUUUCUGUAGAUCUAUUAUUUGAUUAUAUCAUCGUUUCUCUCUUAAUAUUUUUCCUGUGUUCCCAGUACAAGGAAGCCUCCAAAUUCAAAAUAACUGUCAAAGACUUUUCUUAUAAGCAUGUCAUGUUAAGCAACUAAGCUGUAAAUAUUUAGGGAUGAUUAUAUAUUAGGAUGAUUUGUUUCUUGCAGUGGAUAAAAUUUACUUCCUAAAAUAGGCAUUAUUAAAUGGUCCAUUAAAAAUUUGGUACCAUAUGGUGCAAACAGAACCACCAUCCUUACCUUAGACCUGGUCAGGAAAGUUAGCUCUUCACAAAGAAAGCUGCACCCACCGGUGUGACACAGGGACACCUCCGCCAAAUGCUUCAGCCUGCUGGAAGCCAGAAGAGCACUCAGGGCGUUGUCAGAACAGGGUGUUGGACUCCAUCAUCCUCAGCACCUUCCUCUCACUGUCUGGCCAUGACUGGUCAUCCAGAAAUGUUAGUUUGACUGAACAGAACCACAGAUAGAGGGAACAGCAGAUUGCACUAAUGCAUCUUGCCCUGAAUCACGCCCCAGCAACUGCCCCUCCCUUUUGAGCAUCGUUCCGCCUUAAAGCACUUACCUUUCUAUACUCAAGCAUGCUGUUCUCAGCUAUCCUAAUAAAGGAUCUCAUCUCAUCUCACAUUUCAUUGUAGAUUAAGGAGAAUGAUUUUUCUAUCAGCUACGUGGAAGAAUCAAAUUCGUUGCUUUCAGCUGACAACUCAUAGAAAGAAAAAGAGUCCCUUGCCCUUAAAAAAUUCACAAUGUUAUUUUAGAAGCUCAUGCAUGAGAAGUGGUUAGAAAAUCGCAAAUGCACCAACUCUCUUCAUUAGGAAAACUGAACAAGAGGGAGCCACAGAAGAGCCCUUUUCUUUUCCAUCUUCCUCAUCACACAGUUAACCACGCGUGGACCAAAUAUUUGUUCACUAAUUUGUACUUGGACUCAAUGCCUUGCAGUCUAUUAUACCAAUUCAGCUAUUAUGUUUUAGUUAUUUCACUUUGGUCGAUUAUUCUGAAUAAUGUGUUGAUUAAAAGAAUAAUUUUAUUAUUUAUAAACACUUCAUGUUCUUAAUUUGCAUUAUGGUUUUAUAAUUAUAUCUAGGUUCCUAGAUGUCCAUUAAAUCCUUACUUGAUGCUUGAUAACUGAAUAUGGAAUUGGAAAGUGAAGACUUUCAGAGCCUGAGAGUCUAGUGGGAAACACAGGAUGAGCUCCAAGAUGUCUAUAAUUUCCCAAAGAGCAUUCAAAUUAAUAAUUUAAUAAUCUUCACUUUAAAGCCACACUAGAUGACAUUACUCGCUGUGACUGAAAUGACUCUGCCCCCCGAACACAGAGAAAGAGCCUGCAGUUCAGUCACACUGAGUGAGUAGAAUGUUCUGAGCAGGAGUGUGAUCUGGUUCACACAAUUGCAUGAGCUGGAAGGCUUCACUCCAAGAUCUUUGUUUGAAGACACACCAAGGUCUUUGUUUUGAAGACGCACAAUAAGCUGCCUCCUGUGGUCACACCCUGAACCAGCAGAGAGCUGUACCUCAGAUCCUCAGACCUCUGGUCUGCACAACAACAAGGAUUGAAUAAGAUGAGCCUAGCAUGAAACCUGUCCCAUGGGCUGUCUUGAAGCCCCACGCUGUGCUGUGGAGGAGGAAACAGGAGGUCUGGCUGUGGUCUCUAGCACUUUCUCAGGCAUCGCAUGCACCUAGGAGCACCCUUCAGCCUUGCUGAGCCUCAUCCUUUUCAUCUGUAGGUUGAAAGCAACCCCCCAUGAAGCAGAUUUGAGUGUCCGGGGAGCAGUGUGUGUAGAAAUAUUUUUUAAAUCAUGAUGCUCCAUGUAAACGUGAGGCAUUGUUAUUUUUGUUGUUGAGACUUCUGUUGAGGAUCAGUUAUGUGGACUUUCUGGUAUGAGAAGAUGUCAGUUGAUGCUGCUUCUCACUCUCCAGACAGACCGCAUUCCCCCUUGAAUGUGUAUCUUCCUUUCUAAAUAAACCUCUAUGCCAAAAAAAAAAAAAAAAGAAAAAGAAAGAAAGAAAGAAAGAAAAGAAGAAGUUGUAGUAGUUGAGGAAAUUUGGGAUAUACACCUGAUUUUGCUCUACACUUACUGAGGGCUGCGAUUUGAAAAUAUUUUACAGUAAAGACUGCUUUUAAAAGGAGCUUUCAAAAGAAGUAUAUAUAUAUUUUUAAGGCUGUCCAUCCAGAGCCUCAAGAAAAACAUUGGAAAAUCUCCUGAUCAUUUCUUAGGGCUUAAUUUUUUGUUAUUUUCACUAAAAACUGAUGUGAUUCUGCAAUCUGUGUAUGGGGUGAAGGUGGGAGUUCAUAACCCACUUGAAUCAAAGUGUGGAAUAUGAUAUGUCAAGAAAUUUGUAAUGUUUUGAAC
rnacentral:lncRNA from 1 species